rnacentral:misc_RNA from 1 species
GACAGAGGGUGCAAACGUUGUUCGGAAUUACUGGGCGUAAAGCGCGUGUAGGCUGUCGUGCAAGUCGGGUGUGAAAGCCCAGGGCUCAACCCUGGAAGUGCACUCGAAACUGCAAGACUUGAAUCUCGGAGAGGGUAGCGGAAUUCUGGGUGUAGAGGUGAAAUUCGUAGAUAUCCAGAGGAACACCGGUGGCGAAGGCGGCUACCUGGACGAGUAUUGACGCUGAGACGCGAAAGCGUGGGGAGCAAACAGG